rnacentral:tRNA from 22 species
GCUGGCCUAGCUCAAUUGGUAGAGCAACUGACUUGUAAUCAGUAGGUUGGGGGUUCAAGUCCUCUGGCCAGCACCA